rnacentral:lncRNA from 10 species
CAGCGGAGAUGUUCCUUGGCUGUUCCUGACACCCCCUUAGCACCUCCCAGCGUGAGCCAAACACUCUGGGACUUUACUGCCACCUUCUGGAAAGCUCAUAAAUCUGGUGUCUGCUGCACUGGAAUUGUGAAUUGUGCCCUGUUGGAAAGGCUUGUGGACAACCUACAUAACCAUCCAUACACUUUGAGUCCAUAGAGAACACCAAGAAAUGUUGGGUCACCAGAGCUUUGAAAGUGGGUGUAUAUAGUCGAAGAGGAAGCUGAAGAUAACCCGGUGGCUUCUCAGUUCUCCACAGCUGGCCUUCCUAGCAGCAGCUUGUUGACAGCACCCCACCCCUGUUGAUGCUCUCUACUUCAGGUGACUGUGACCUGACAUCAGUGGGAGAAGACAUUUGAAAAUAAAGCUAUUUACUCUCAUCCCCACUGCCCUAGGGAAGGCAUGAGCCAUAAAAGUGUAGCUUAAAAAGGAAGUAGAGACGGGGUUUCACCGUGUUAGCCAGGAUGGUCUCGAUCUCCUGACCUCGUGAUCCGCCCGCCUCGGCCUCCCAAAGUGCUGGGAUUACAGGCGUGAGCCACCGCGCCCGGCCGACACUCUUAUCUAGACCACCUGAUCUCUACUCUCAGUCUUCAUUUGGCCCUUCAUUACCUGGCCCUUCCACUCCAGGUGGUAGCUGGGACUCUGUGGAGAAAACACUCUCUCUCUCAAACUGCCUGGUUUGGGGAGCAAGGUAUUGUUCCUGCGGCAGCUCUUUCUCUGCAGACCUUGAAGGUGAAGUGCUGCUGUGCACAUAGGAAGCUGGAACCCCGCUUGACUCUACCCACAGGACGAAGUCCUUCAAACUCACAGGACCUCUUGAGGGAAGCCCAGUCACCCAAAGGAACAGAUGAUUCUCUAACUUCAGAUGGCCCACACCGCAUUCCCCUUCGAGGCAGCCCAGCAACCUGGGGAAGGAACAUAGUGUGGCGGGAAGAGUCCUGCCCAAGGCCACCAGCCCAAAAGGGGCAGAAUUGGCACUUGCACUCAAGGA